GGGAGUCAAGUCUCUUGGGCUUGCCCUCCGGUGCGGGUUGGCCUUUCCGUGUUUCCCACAGAAGGCACGUGGGCAACCCUUUUUUCCAGCAGUGCAGGUGACAGGCGGAUAGGGGAUGGGAGGCCAGCGCUGGAGGUCACGGGAAAUGAAGGCCAGGCCCGAAAGAUGAGGAUGCGAUUGGGGGCCUUUCCAGCCAGGGAGACGUCCAUCAUGCUUGAUCUUGCCUUUGGUGGUUGCUAAAGAAGUAGGGUUUCCGGCCACUCCACAAAUGUCCCCCACUGUCCUCAGGCUGUUUGACAGUGUUGGGACAACCACCGGCGGGUCACAGCCCUCUGCCUUUCAGGAAGCACAGAGGAGGACCCCCUGCUCCCAUCUCCAGGGAAGCCGACUGCAGAACUGGAUUCCCAGCUUCAGGUCUUACAAUGAAAUGUCCAGUAAGAUGGAUCACUUUUAUCCUGAGAAUUUGGAUGCCCCCGCACCAGUAUUUUGAACUGAUGGUACUUGACGCCCUGGUUGGUUGUGAAAUCAGACACGCACGUGUUAUCUUUUCUUAAAUAGAAGAACCGAAUAGAAAAUAGGUUGCUGGUAUUGGGCUGUUGCAGAUAGAAUUAGUCGAAGAUGAGAGGUGGCCUUCCAGUACGACCGGUGUCCUCGCAAGAGAAGAGACGCACGGACACAGGGCACACGGCCAUGUGCAGACAGAGGCAGAGCCUGAUGCGGCCACAGGCCAAGGACCCCCUGGGGCUCCCGGGGGCUGGGAGGGGCGAGGGAGGAUCUCCUGGAGACUUCCGAGAGAGGCCAGGUCUUUGGGCUUCUGGCCUCCAGACUGUGAGAGAAUGAAUCUGUAUUAGUUUAAGCUACCCAGUCUGUGCACUUGGUUACGGCCGUAGAAAACAAAUCCAUCGAUUAUCCUCACAUAAAGUUUCGUGCACA